UACCUGACCAGAGUACUGUUCCUCGGUUACACAUGUUACAUUAUACUUCCCGGUCCUUCCACCGUCUCCCACGGCUUCUUCAUCUCGAUCCUUCCACCCUCUGUUACUGUUUCUCCUUAGAAGCGAUUGAGCACUGCCAUCACCACCCUUUAAUUCGUGUCCACGGUCUCUUAGGGUUGGUAUAGUUUUCACGAUCGCUCCUCUACACAUAUCUCAAAGCGGCGAUCACUGUCUCCGGUCUCCGGACGACGACAACGAUGAAGCCUCCCCCUCCGACUUCUUUCAUGCUAUUAUCACCGACCCGUUGAGACCCACGAGGUUUUGUUUCUCAGUUUUGCUACCACUCUCCAAUCGACUUUUCAGCCUCCUAACCCAAACCCAAUCUGCCAUUCAUCGGCUUCUUCUUCUCCACAUCUACUUCCCACCGUCUACUCUAAUCGAUUUGUUUUGUGCAAUCAUUGACAUCUUUGAACUGCUACGCCUCUCCUCUACGUAGCUCUUGCUCUCUUUAGAAAGUAGAGGUAUAUUAAUAUGGUCAAUGGAUGGUGGUCAAAUUCUUUUCCAAUUGCUCAAUCGGCUGUGGAAUCCUCUCUGCCAUCUACCACUUCUAUCUACCGUAUUCAGCAGAGAUCAGUGAAGGAAGAGAAGGCGAAGCUUGAAGAGGGUUUUAUGGUGGUGGCUUUUGGAGAUGAAGAUUUUGGGAUAAACUUAUCUUAUUGUGGAUAAAGAUUUUGGAAUCGAAGAGACUGUCCGGAAGAAGACCCAGAGAAUCCCCUUUCUUCCACGUGUUUAUUCCAGCAUCUGAAUUCGUUUUGUAUUCAAUUCUUUGUUAUUGAUGGAUUGAACAUAAUACACAUUAUGUGGACUGGGCCGACCGGCUGUAUAGGUAUUAAUCUGAACUCCGGGUGGCCGACAAUAGGCCAGGACUCCAACAGGUGAAUCAGUAUCCUUAGGUUCCUCUCAAUUGACGAAAAAAAUGUGCGUAUGAUUGGAAAUGGGAGAGGUUUUGGUUCUCUUGCGGCUCGGCUCCUGCUCAUACGCUACUUCUCUGCAAAGUAGACAUCAGUGAAAGCUCAACCCACUGGUUUGUUUCAUUGGAUUAUUGUUUCUAUUAACUUUAUAAUUCCAUCCAAUUUUACCUACAGUUAUCUGUGUAUUGGUGUUUGACUAACAGGUGUUGGGUUAAAUGUUUUACAUAAAUCAUUAUAUAAGGGGAUUAUUGUUUCCCAUUGACAUUAACAAAUGCCAAAUGUAGUGCAAACUGUCAUAUCUUGUGUAACAAAAGGGAGCUAAAGAUCAUCAUAUUCUUUUUAUGGGAAGUUAUUCAACCCCCUACUUAUUUUUGGAAAGUGACUUUUGAGUUUAUAAUUGAAAAGGCUAAGAUAUUUUGGAGAA